rnacentral:lncRNA from 1 species
UCGCUCUGAGAGCGACUGUGCUUUGUUCUGUAAGCGAGCUGCGGUCUCUGGUGCGCUGCAGCCUACCUUUUUAUUUAUUUUUAUUUUUUUCUCACUGACUCUUUGACACCCASCACCUCCCUGCCAGCCUGGUGUGGCUGAUCAAGCUGUUCAAACAACUGGAAGACAUCAGAAGUUAAACACUCAUUAUUUUAAUUUGAUGCUAAUCAUGUGUUAAUGAGACUAAUCCUUGCAAUGAUUCAGAAAAGCACCAGGAAUCCUAAAAGAAGAUCCUUAAAAAGGCAGUUGUGGAGUGUUAGACAGAGCUCUUGACCUAACACCUGGGGAUCUGCACUGUGUUCCUAGCUGGCCUGCUGUCAGCGCUAAGGGAUACUACGGUGCCUUCUGUACCAGCUGUCUGCUCUGCAUUGGAUAYUGCAGUCCAGCUGUGUCUGCAGUGAUGUAGCACGGCCCUUGAAUGACCAGCCAGAUGUGCAGUCGUGGUGCGAAGUAGGAGAUGCAGGCUGCAAGGUAAGAAAUAUUCAAGUCUUACUUAUCAAGGAACAUUAUGUCAGGUGAAAGG